UCACUCCUACGGGGAGGCAGCAGUGGGGAAUAUUGCACAAUGGGNGCAAGCCUGAUGCAGCCAUGCCCGUGUGNGUGAAGAAGGCCUUCGGGGUUGUAAAGCACUUUCAGUUGUGAGGAAGGUGGUGUCGUUAAUAGCGGCAUCAUUUGACGUUAGCAACAGAAGAAGCACCGGCUAACUCCGUGCCAGCAGCCGCGGUAAUACGGAGGGUGCGAGCGUUAAUCGGAAUUACUGGGCGUAAAGCGCAUGCAGGUGGUUUGUUAAGUCAGAUGUGAAAGCCCGGGGCUCAACCUCGGAACUGCAUUUGAAACUGGCAGACUAGAGUACUGUAGAGGGGGUAGAAUUUCAGGUGUAGCGGUGAAAUGCGUAGAGAUCUGAAGGAAUACCGGUGGCGAAGGCGGCCCCCUGGACAGAUACUGACACUCAGAUGCGAAAGCGUGGGGAGCAAACAGGAUUAGAUACCCUGGUAG
rnacentral:rRNA from 1 species